UACGUAGGGGGCUAGCGUUGUCCGGAUUUAUUGGGCGUAAAGAGCGUGUAGGCGGCCAGGUAGGUCCGCUGUGAAAGUCCGAGGCUCAACCUCGGAAUGUCGGCGGAAACCCUCUGGCUAGAGUCCGGAAGAGGAGAGUGGAAUUCCCGGUGUAGCGGUGAAAUGCGCAGAUAUCGGGAAGAACACCCGUGGCGAAGGCGGCUCUCUGGAACGGUACUGACGCUGAGGCGCGAAAGCUAGGGUAGCAAACGGG
rnacentral:rRNA from 1 species